AACCCAUGGUGAGGGCACUCUCUUCGGUACUCCUUGUACCUCUCCCAAGCUUCGCAGAAAGCCUCACCUGAGUGACAUCUACUAGUAGACAUCUACUAUAUAAUCAAUUUAUUUCAUGGGUGAUGUG
rnacentral:snoRNA from 1 species